rnacentral:rRNA from 1 species
UACGAAGGGGGCUAGCGUUGCUCGGAAUCACUGGGCGUAAAGCGCACGUAGGCGGAUCGUUAAGUCAGGGGUGAAAUCCUGGAGCUCAACUCCAGAACUGCCUUUGAUACUGGCGACCUUGAGUUCGGGAGAGGUGAGUGGAACUGCGAGUGUAGAGGUGAAAUUCGUAGAUAUUCGCAAGAACACCAGUGGCGAAGGCGGCUCACUGGCCCGGUACUGACGCUGAGGUGCGAAAGCGCGGGGAGCAAACAGG